ensembl:lncRNA
GUGUCGUGAUGCCUCAGAACGUUAUGAACCGUGACGGUGGACGAGGAGGAACUCGCCACAGCACCUGUAGAGCCUCCGGUCGGGGCCCGGGUCUGGUUCGUGGAGGCGCUGCUCUCAAUGGCGUGCUGGCCGCUCCUCCCCAGAGCACGGCUCGGUUCACCCAGGGGAACGGCGCCCAGCCACCGCGUGUGGUUGAGGGUGACGUUAACCAUUGGUACAAGAGCAAGAAGGCAGCGCCCCCGAGGACACUGAAGAAACGGGGAGGCCCCGCCUCCCCUGUCACUCAUGCCUCAGCGGCUGGCAGGGUCUGUAGUGCGGGCAGCCUCGCUGGUGUGUCGGGGAAGGGGGCCGCCAGUCUAGACGCCGCCGCCUCGCCUGUUGACUGUCAACAAAUGGCGCCACGAGUCAUCCUGUCCAAGAACCAGAGAAGAAGAAACCGGAAAGCCUGUCCAGAGAACCAUACACUCUCAGGAAUACCACCCCCACCACCACCGGAGGAGGAGGAGGAGGAGGACUGGGAAAAGGAGAGCCAAGAGGUCACGCUGAUUGACUGGGAAAAUAACUGUUUUGGCAUCAAUCCCUACGGUCCACAGGAUGUGAUCCAUUUUUCCUUGCGGUAUUCACCCUUCCAGCGAAGGCACGAAGUCGUCCCACUAUUGAUGGCUGGUUACAGCCCGGAGGUGCACCACCCGCAGCCCGUCCGUUGGAGGCACUACGGCACCCCCACCGAGCAAGGGCAGUUUGCAGACGCUGACCACUAG